GAUGAACGCUGGCGGCGUGCCUAAUACAUGCAAGUCGAGCGAACAGACGAGGAGCUUGCUCCUCUGACGUUAGCGGCGGACGGGUGAGUAACACGUGGAUAACCUACCUAUAAGACUGGGAUAACUUCGGGAAACCGGAGCUAAUACCGGAUAAUAUAUUGAACCGCAUGGUUCAAUAGUGAAAGACGGUUUUGCUGUCACUUAUAGAUGGAUCCGCGCCGCAUUAGCUAGUUGGUAAGGUAACGGCUUACCAAGGCAACGAUGCGUAGCCGACCUGAGAGGGUGAUCGGCCACACUGGAACGGGGCCACGGUCCAGACUCCUACGGGAGGCAGCAGUAGGGAAUCUUCCGCAAUGGGCGAAAGCCUGACGGAGCAACGCCGCGUGAGUGAUGAAGGUCUUCGGAUCGUAAAACUCUGUUAUUAGGGAAGAACAAAUGUGUAAGUAACUAUGCACGUCUUGACGGUACCUAAUCAGAAAGCCACGGCUAACUACGUG
rnacentral:rRNA from 1 species